UCUGCUCUGUACCUCACAGGAUUCCAGCCGGCUGUUCCAAUCCAGGAGGAAAACUGUGCCACUGAAGUCUCCGAGCACCUGGGCAGUGAAGUGCCACUUAAUCCCGCUGUGAUGCACAGGAGGACAUCGCAGCCUACAUAAAGAUCCAGCUGUUUAACAUCAGGGUCUUGGGCCAGGUGCCCGACGCCCUGCAGGGGCUGUGCUCCGUGGGGCAGCACUGAAGACCCCCCCCUCGCAUGACCAGCUCGGACCCCCUGCUGCAGCCUCGCUCCAGGCCCUCCAGCCACCCGCUCCAGCCCUGCCACCUCCUCCUCCUCCUGAUCUUCUCCAACCCCUUCAAUUUUGACUGCAUGGCUUCGAUCUUUGCAUGGAUAUGGACUUUGCCUCAUAUUUCUGACCACCCGGCUUCGACCUCCGGCCUGGACAUGGACACUGGCUCCCGUUCUGCCUGCAAACACUCAACACCCGGCAGCAGUAGACAGGCCUCACCAUUAAUCAAACCCUAACCCCACCCCAUGACCCCUUAGU